rnacentral:rRNA from 1 species
GAUGAACGCUAGCUACAGGCUUAACACAUGCAAGUCGAGGGGCAGCAUGAACAAAGCUUGCUUUGUUUGAUGGCGACCGGCGCACGGGUGCGUAACACGUAUCCAAUCUGCCCGCGGCUCGGGGAUAGCCCAUCGAAAGAUGGAUUAAUACCCGAUGGUGUGGUUUCUCCGCAUGGGGGUUUCCACUAAAGGUUUUCCGGCCGCGGAUGAGGAUGCGUAUGAUUAGGUAGUAGGCGGGGUAACGGCCCACCUAGCCUUCGAUCAUUAGGGGUUCUGAGAGGAAGGUCCCCCANACUGGAACUGAGACACGGUCCAGACUCCUACGGGAGCAGCAGUGAGGAAUAUUGGUCAAUGGUCGAGAGACUGAACCAGCCAUGCCGCGUGAAGGUGACGGCCCUAUGGGUCUUAAACUUCUUUUGUAAGGGAGCAAUAAGUCUUACGUGUAGGAUGAUGAGAGUACCUUACGAAUAAGCAUCGGCUAACUCCGUGCCAGCAGCCG